AGUACAACAACUGGUCUUCCAGGGAACAUUGCAGAGCUAUGACACAAACGGGGAAGGUGUGAUCACAAGAGCAAAGAACUGGUUUAAGCUGCCUGUAAUCCCAAUGCCCUGGGGGGCUGAGGCAGGAGGAUCACAAGUUCAAGUCUAGUCUUGACAGCUUAGUGACUUAGCCCCUGUUUCAAAACAAACAAGAAAACAAGCUAGGAAUGUAGCUUAGUGUGGGCCUCAAGUUCAAUCUGAGUGCUGCUACAAAAACAAAAAUCCCCCAAUAACACACACAAAGAAUCACUGACUCAGGGGACCUCAAAGAUACUAAGAGAGGGAAUGGGACAGCUACACAGUUCAGCUGGAAGGGGUCUGACAGGAAUAUGUGGUCCAAUCCCUUUAUUUUAUGUGGGGGAGGGUAUAGAGACAAGGUCAUGCUUUAUAGCCCAGGCUGGCUUUGGACUUGUGGCAAUCCUCCUGCCUCAGCUUCGAGAAUGCUGGGAUUACAGGCAUGUGCUACCAUGCCUGGCCAACAAGUUCACUAUAUUCAGAGGAAGAACUGGAACCCAGAGGGGCCAAGUCACUGCUGAGGUGACGCUGAGCUGGGACUGUCUGGUUGCUCCCAGGCAGUUUCCCCUUCUCUACUGCAGUGCGCCUGGCCCAGGCAAAGUCUGAGAGGCCAGGAAGAGCAAUGGAGUGGCAGUGCCUCUGCUGCUGUCCCCAGGUUGUGGCAGGACUUCAAAAGCUUCUGUUUUCCCAGCCAUGGAGCUGGGCGUGGACUGCUCCUUCUCAACCGGUUCACAGGCACGUUAUCUGCAAGGCAGCCAGUGCUUUGGGAAAGAGAACGAGGUACCUUUCUUUCACUGUCGCCUGUCUCUGGCCAAUCAUGAGUGGAACAUGCUGCCCAGCAGGAUCAGUAAGGGCCACAGAGGGCCACACAGGGCGGUGUUCAGAGUCUGCACUAGUACACGCCUGGCACUGCCCCUCCUGGCACAGGGAACUGUGGGGAAGCCCGACGUCACAGAGGCUAAUGAGAGUCAUUUCCUAGCUCAGGCUGCUGGGGCAGCUGAAGGGAAAGACCUGAAGAAGCUGCUCUGUCUGGGAGCCAAGGUAGUAUGUGCAAGUGAGGUGCUGACCUGGGAAGUCCUCGUACUGUCACUGCCACUCUCAGUGGUGGUGGCUAAACCUGAGCCUCAGACUUCUCAGGUGUUAGAAAGAGAUGAAAUACUUGUUUACCUACAGCAUCCUUGAAUUAUGAAAGUAAGAUAGCGUGGGCUGGGGUGAGGCCGAGUGGUAGAGAGAGCUUGCCUAGCGCCACAAGGCCCUGGAUUUAAUCCCUAGUACCACCAAAAAAACCAAACCAAAACAAAACAAAAGAAGUAUAAAGGCACUUUCAAGUGCACUACCUUGGCUAUAAGGCCUAGGAGCAUACUUUAGCCGGCAACUGUGGACACAGUAGAGACAACAGUGGUAGCUGUGAGCCAGACAGCCUGAGUUCAAAUGCCAGCUCUAUGAUCUGACUGUACGUGGCUUUUGAAAAGCCACCAGCCCUCCCUGAGCCGCCACCUCUCAUCAGUUACACAAACAUAAUAAUCCUGUCCCGCAGGGUUGUUGUGAAGAGACAAUGGGUGUGAAAGGCCUCCUACACACGACAAAGGCACAGGAACGUUGCUUGUUGCUUGUUUCUCCUGCGUAGUCGUAGUCUGGGCUCUCAGGCCCUGUGACAGAUGAGGCCUGCUGCCAGGAAGGUCCACAUCCAGCGUGGGGAGCUGACAGUUCGUGGGGCGCAUUCCACUUGCUCCAGAUGCCUUCUGCUAAAUACCCACACGGUUCCACAGCUGAAGACUGUCCUGGCACCAUGGCUGAGUCAGGAAAACCCGGCCUCUCCUGGCAAACGGCAACAGGGCCAAGGACAAGCUCAGGCAUGUCACCGCUCUCCACGCUAUGUGCUAACACAACAGCCUGCCAGGGUCUGAAGUGCCCUGGGCACAGGCUGGAGUGCUGCUGGGAGCAACCCACGUGUGGGAUAUGGGAAGGAUCAGGAGUGGGAAUGGGUGCCAUGGAGACCUAACGAAGGAGCAGAGCCCAGGAUAAGAAAAGCCUGGUCACCAUGAGUUUCUCCAAACAGGCAGCCUCAGUGGCGGGCAAGAUGGCUGAGACGGGGUAAGCCCAUAAGCAGGAGUCCCAGAACAGGCCGACCCAACAGCGCUAGCUAAUGACCUGCCUGCUCAGGACUGUCAGGCUCUCCACACAGCUGGCUCCCAGUGGUUACGCACAGCACAAAUAUCACUAACCCUGUCUGAAAGUAAGGCCCAAGUACGGACAAACUCAUUUCGUCCCCUUGGGAUUCACCUGCAUCCUGGCUGGCUGCUGUCCAGGAAGAACAAAGCGCAGAAGUGGCUCCUCUGUCUCCUGGCUCUCUAACUCCAGUGACCGGGACAAGAUGGCGUUUGCGAGAUGCCCAAUGGAGCCAGCGCUAUGGAGAAAACCCAAAUCUUGACCGAGUCUCCUCAACUGUUCAGUGAACACCUCACUCAGAAAUCUGAGUGUGAAACACCCUUAAAAGACAGGAAAAGAAUGAGGCAAGAGAACUGCAAGUUCAAGGCCAAUCUGGGCAACUUAGGAAGACAAUGUCUCAAAAUAAAAAAAAAAAAAAAAAUAAAGCCAAAAGAAGUCCUCUCCCUUCUCAAAACACUCUGACUUUAUCCACAACAGACCUUCGCCCAGAAUGCUCCUCUCCUCUAGUAAACACCCAGAAAGAUGCAAAUCAGGUGUCGUCCACCCUGAGCUCUGCCCUGAGCUGUCUUAGCAACUUCAAAACACGGAAAUUUCUUACACUGUAAUCGUCUGUUUAUACGCCUGUCUUCUCCUCCUAGUCUAGGGAGUUAAGGACAAUGUCUCAGUCAUUCUUCUAUCUUCAGUGCUUAGCACGGUACUGGGAAGCUAGCAGGCCACAAUAAAAUGGAUGGAUAGAUGGGUAAAACUUUGUUUGUGUCUGGGAACAGAAAUCAGACAGAGAAUGAUGAACUGCUAAAAAAACAGAACACAAGCUCUGGGAUUUAACACAAGGCUAGCUUUUCAGACUUUCACAGAGUUGCUGAAUGUUAAGUCUGGAAGAGAAUGUAGAAAUCAUCUAACUCACCUCCCCAGAGAGGUGAGGUGAUCUGACUUACUCAAGCUCACCCAGAAAGUGGCCAGGCUGGCCAGAACUCCUCCAUUACACCGCAUGGUCCCUCCUUACUACUGUCUGCAAUGGUGUGUAUACAUGUUUAUUUGGUGGCAGGACGAGAAUGUGAUUAGAACUAUGUACUGUGAGCAUGCUAUUUCAUAAUGAACAAAAUGGAGGGAUAUAAUGCUGGGAAUUCAAAUUACUUGAUAAAAGAUAUACUAUGAGAGCAUCUCAUACAUUAACAUGAGUAAUAUACAGUCACCACAGGACCCAGCAAUACCCAAGAGAUCUGAAAACGUAUGAUCAGACAAAAACUGUGACUGAAAUAUGCACAAUAGCAUUAUUCACAAAAGACAAAAAGCGGCAACAACCCAAAUGUCAAUACCUAACAAAAUGUGGUGUAUUCAUAGAAAAGACCAUCAGUAAAAAGGAAUGAAAUAUUGAAACAUGCUAUAAUAUGAAUAAACCUUGAAAACAAUAUGCUAAGGAAAAGGAGACAAAGUAAAAGGCUGCAUAUGCAUGUUGCACUUAUAUGAGAUGCUCAGAGUAGGUAAAUGCACAGAUAGGAAGGAAAGUAGUGCUCAGUAGGGGCCAGGGAAAGAGACACUGAGGAGUGCCUCCUAAAUGGCACAAGGGCUCUUUCUAAGGUGAUGAAAAUGUUCUGGAGUUAGACAGUGGUGGCGGGGCAUCACACUGUAAAUUUAAUAAAAAGUACAUUUUAAAUGAA